GCCUUCUUAGCUCAGUGGUAGAGCGCUGGUCUCGUAACACGGCUCAAUGACAAAUUGCAAGUAAACCAGAGGUCAAGAGUUCAAUCCUCUUAGAAGGCA
rnacentral:tRNA from 1 species